GCCCGGCUAGCUCAGUCGGUAGAGUAUGAGACUAUUAAUCUCAGGGUCGUGGGUUCGAGCCCCACGUUAGGUG